rnacentral:rRNA from 1 species
AUAAUAAUUAGUCUUUUAAAUGAAGGCUGGAAUGAAUGAUUGGACGAAGUAAAUUCUGUCUCAUUUAAAUUAAAAUUAAAUUUAAUUUUUUAGUUAAAAAGCUUAAAUAUUAUUAUAGGACGAGAAGACCCUAUAGAGCUUUAUAAUAUAUGAAUAAUAAACUUUAAUUUUAAUUUAUUAUUUAAAAUAUUAUUUUGUUGGGGCGACAGGAAAAUUUAUAAAACUUUUUUAAAUUUAUUACAUUAAUUUAUGAAUUUUUGAUCCUAAAUUUUAGAUUAUUAGAUUAAGUUACCUUAGGGAUAACAGCGUUAUUUUUUUUUAGAGUUCUUAUUAGUAAAAAAGAUUGC